GUCCAUGCCGUAAACGAUGUCUACUAGCCGUUGGGGCCUUUGAGGCUUUAGUGGCGCAGCUAACGCGAUAAGUAGACCGCCUGGGGAGUACGGUCGCAAGACUAAAACUCAAAUGAAUUGACGGGGGCCCGCACAAGCGGUGGAGCAUGUGGUUUAAUUCGAUGCAACGCGAAGAACCUUACCUGGCCUUGACAUAGUAGAAACUUUCCAGAGAUGGAUUGGUGCCUUCGGGAAUCUACAUACAGGUGCUGCAUGGCU
rnacentral:rRNA from 1 species